rnacentral:rRNA from 1 species
GACGAACGCUGGCGGCGUGCCUAAUACAUGCAAGUAGAACGCUGAAGGAGGAGCUUGCUUCUCUGGAUGAGUUGCGAACGGGUGAGUAACGCGUAGGUAACCUGCCUGGUAGCGGGGGAUAACUAUUGGAAACGAUAGCUAAUACCGCAUAAUAGUAGAUGUUGCAUGACAUUUGCUUAAAAGUUGCAAUUGCAUCACUACCAGAUGGCCCUGCGUUGUAUUAGCUAGUUGGUGGGGUAACGGCUCACCAAGGCGACGAUACAUAGCCGACCUGAGAGGGUGAUCGGCCACACUGGGACUGAGACACGGCCCAGACUCCUACGGGAGGCAGCAGUAGGGAAUCUUCGGCAAUGGACGGAAGUCUGACCGAGCAACGCCGCGUGAGUGAAGAAGGUUUUCGGAUCGUAAAGCUCUGUUGUAAGAGAAGAACGAGUGUGAGAGUGGAAAGUUCACACUGGGACGGGAUCUUACCAGAAAGGGACGGCUAACUACGU